rnacentral:rRNA from 1 species
AGAGUUUGAUCUUGGCUCAGGAUGAACGCUGGCGGCGUGCUUAACACAUGCAAGUCGAACGAAGCACCUUAUUCUGAUUUCUUCGGAAUGAAAAAUUUGGUGACUGAGUGGCGGACGGGUGAGUAACGCGUGGGUAACCUGCCUCAUACAGGGGGAUAACAGUUAGAAAUGACUGCUAAUACCGCAUAAGACCACAGCACCGCAUGGUGCAGGGGUAAAAACUCCGGUGGUAUGAGAUGGACCCGCGUCUGAUUAGGUAGUUGGUGGGGUAACGGCCUACCAAGCCGACGAUCAGUAGCCGACCUGAGAGGGUGACCGGCCACAUUGGGACUGAGACACGGCCCAAACUCCUACGGGAGGCAGCAGUGGGGAAUAUUGCACAAUGGGGGAAACCCUGAUGCAGCGACGCCGCGUGAGCGAUGAAGUAUUUCGGUAUGUAAAGCUCUAUCAGCAGGGAAGAAAAUGACGGUACCUGACUAAGAAGCACCGGCUAAAUACGUGCCAGCAGCCGCGGUAAUACGUAUGGUGCAAGCGUUAUCCGGAUUUACUGGGUGUAAAGGGAGCGUAGACGGAGUGGCAAGUCUGAUGUGAAAACCCGGGGCUCAACCCCGGGACUGCAUUGGAAACUGUCAAUCUAGAGUACCGGAGAGGUAAGCGGAAUUCCUAGUGUAGCGGUGAAAUGCGUAGAUAUUAGGAGGAACACCAGUGGCGAAGGCGGCUUACUGGACGGUAACUGACGUUGAGGCUCGAAAGCGUGGGGAGCAAACAGGAUUAGAUACCCUGGUAGUCCACGCCGUAAACGAUGACUACUAGGUGUCGGGCAGCAAAGCUGUUCGGUGCCGCAGCAAACGC